GACGAACGCUGGCGGCGUGCUUAACACAUGCAAGUCGAACGAUGAUUCGGUGCUUGCACCGGGGAUUAGUGGCGAACGGGUGAGUAACACGUGAGUAACCUGCCCUUGACUCUGGGAUAAGCCUGGGAAGCUGGGUCUAAUACCGGAUAUGACCUUCCAUCGCAUGGUGGUUGGUGGAAAGCUUUUGUGGUUUUGGAUGG
rnacentral:rRNA from 1 species